rnacentral:rRNA from 1 species
GGUAACCUGCCCAUCAGAAGGGGAUAACACUUGGAAACAGGUGCUAAUACCGUAUAACACUAUUUUCCGCAUGGAAGAAAGUUGAAAGGCGCUUUUGCGUCACUGAUGGAUGGACCCGCGGUGCAUUAGCUAGUUGGUGAGGUAACGGCUCACCAAGGCCACGAUGCAUAGCCGACCUGAGAGGGUGAUCGGCCACACUGGGACUGAGACACGGCCCAGACUCCUACGGGAGGCAGCAGUAGGGAAUCUUCGGCAAUGGACGAAAGUCUGACCGAGCAACGCCGCGUGAGUGAAGAAGGUUUUCGGAUCGUAAAACUCUGUUGUUAGAGAAGAACAAGGAUGAGAGUAGAACGUUCAUCCCUUGACGGUAUCUAACCAGAAAGCCACGGCUAACUACGUGCCAGCAGCCGCGGUAAUACGUAGGUGGCAAGCGUUGUCCGGAUUUAUUGGGCGUAAAGCGAGCGCAGGCGGUUUCUUAAGUCUGAUGUGGAAGCCCCCGGCUCAACCGGGGAGGGUCAUUGGAAACUGGGGGACUUGAGUGCAGAAGAGGAGAGUGGAAUUCCAUGUGUAGCGGUGAAAUGCGUAGAUAUAUGGAGGAACACCAGUGGCGAAGGCGGCUCUCUGGUCUGUAACUGACGCUGAGGCUCGAAAGCGUGGGGAGCGAACAGGAUUAGAUACCCUGGUAGUCCACGCCGUAAAC